CGUAUGUUGGGAUCAUCGCAAGUAUUGUGUUGUAUGGAAGAGCUGUAUUUCAAUGCCAACUGAUCGGUGACCAUUUUAAAAGAAAUGUAACAAGGAAGUGGGACUUGGAUCACACACUAUCAUUAUAUAAUGGAAAGUCGAUUAAUUAUUCCAAAUAUACAGAAGAACUAUAUUCAAGUGGAUUUAGACUCAUUGUUCAUAAUUUCACAGAAUACGAUUUAGGAAAAACUUACACAUGUGUGUACGGAUUUUUACAAAACUCUAUCAAAUUAUCACUCAGCGAUGAUUUGUUUAUAUCGCUACCUAGGAAAGUGGAUAAGGAUAUCACCUUUUGGAAAACCAAGGUGGAUAUAUAUGUGAGGUUCCAUGAUGUUUUUCCAGAGCCAAAAUGUACUUGCACUUUAAAUGAUGAAAGUAUCAACAAACCAUUUGACAGGAACUUCACGAUGGUCGGUGCAUUGUAUAUGGCAUCAUUUUGGAUCAGUUUAAACCUGAGCAGUUCUUCUUGUGUGGACAGAAUAAAUGUAAAUUGCUCUAUUUUGGAGGAAAUCGUUUUUGAUGAAGAAGCUUUGGACACGUGUACAGAUGUUUCCAUGUUGCCUGGUAGGACAAACACUCUCCUGGUUGUAUCCGUUGUUUUAAUAGUUGGACUUCUUGUGAAUAUUUUAAUACUGCUGGCUAUCUUCGUACAUAACACAGUUUACGGUUUUCGUUGAGAAAAAAUUGUAUCAGAAACUGUGGACAGACUGAAAACUAUAUUACAAGCAAAAUAGUGUAAUUCAAAAAUGUUCAACUGCUCACAAAUUAUGAGCAAUAAUUUGUGGUAUUUUUGAAAGUAUAUACACGCGCAUCUAUAUGACUGCUUUUUUUAAUAUUAUUUGUUUCAUGAGUUUUGCCUUAAAUGUUAGUUGUUCGUUUAAUGGACCACAAAAAACCCAUCGCUUAUGUGUAUGUUCAAUGACUUUGAAAGAAAAUGACAAGAGGUUAUCCAAAGCAAAUCAGUAUUUAAGCAUAUUAAUACUAAUUAGAUAAUAAACCUUUUU